rnacentral:lncRNA from 1 species
AUCAGUAAAUUUAUCGAGUAGUGGCAAACGAUAUUCGUUCAAUGACGUUAUUCAUAUUUCUUAUAAUUACUGUACGUCGCACAUAAAUAUAGAUUUAUUUUACAAAGAGCUCUAGUGUUUGUCGAUCUAUCAUUCUAACCUUUCAUUACUUGUGCGAAACUGUACAAGAAACUUACAUUCACAGUUUUUAAUAGUCAAUAAUCAUUCAAUAAUAAUUAAUUUAAAUACAUACUAAUUUUAUAUCAAGUCAAAAAAAACAGUUUAAUUCUUAUUCAAUUUGUGUUUGUGACAAUUCAUUUUACAACUAAUCAAUUUACAGAUAAUAUUGUGUUGUAACGAUCAAAAUCAAACCGUCGAUAAUCACAUUCACAGUUUACGUUUAUUAAAGUUAUAUAAAUUAUUUCUUCACGUUUCAAUAAAUUAUUCACAGAAAUCAUACAGAAGAUCACGCUGCCAUACAAUAUGAUUCCAAACAUAAAGUUAAUAUGUA